ensembl:lncRNA
GGGCUAUGUUCAAAUCCCAAGUAUCUGUCUUCUCUCCACUGAAGCUGAAGUUAAAUCACUAACCCAGCUGCUUAGUGUAAAUGGGAAAAGGAUGCUCCAGGAGGCUACUGUUCUCAAAAAGUACUGAGAUUCCCUAGUGGCUCAGAUGGUAAAGAAUCUGCUUGCAAUGUGGGAGACCUGGGUCUGGAAGAUUCCCUGGAGGAGUGCCUGACAACCCACUUCAAUAUUCUUGCCUGGAAAAUUCCAUGGACAGAGGAGUCUGUUGGGCUACAGUCCAUGGGGUUGCCAAGAGAUGGACACGACUGAGAGACUAACACUUUCACUUUCAGAGAUAAAACAAGAUUUGUGGGAAAGGCCCCAGAGGACCAUGUGUAGGAUGGACUAGAGCACAGGUAAGGCAAGGGGGAAACCAGAAUUAGGGUGGUCUGUUGGGAAGUUACCUGUUGAUGAGACUACUGGCCUGGAUAUGUAAGUGGAGAAAGGAGUGGACUGGAAGAAGAAAUCAGUUUGCUAAAGAACAGGAGGUGCUGGGAUGAGCAAUUCCUUGGAAAUUACUGGAGGGAGGCUCAUUUGAGGAGGGUCAUGGUGUUGCAGUGGAAAUGAACUGCAUUUUCA